AGAGUUUGAUCAUGGCUCAGAACGAACGCUGGCGGUAUGCUUAACACAUGCAAGUCGAACGGUAACAGGAUUAGCUUGCUAAUCGCUGACGAGUGGCGGACGGGUGAGUAACGCGUAGGGAUCUGCCUGACAAUGGGGGAUAGCCCGGUGAAAACCGGAUUAAUACCGCAUACGUCCUAAGGGAGAAAGGGUGCCACUUCUUGAAAGCACUCGUUGUCAGAUGAACCUGCGUUGGAUUAGCUAGUUGGUAGGGUAAUGGCCUACCAAGGCGACGAUCCAUAGCUGGUCUGAGAGGAUGAUCAGCCACACUGGGACUGAGACACGGCCCAGACUCCUACGGGAGGCAGCAGUGGGGAAUAUUGCGCAAUGGGCGAAAGCCUGACGCAGCAAUACCGCGUGUGUGAAGAAGGCCUGCGGGUUGUAAAGCACUUUCAGUAGGGAGGAGGAGGUUGCGUGUUAAUA
rnacentral:rRNA from 1 species